CUCCCUCGGGCGGUGGCGGCGGCGGCGGCGGUGGUGGUUGGGCAUCGCCCGCCGCACCGCCCGCCGCGCCGCCCGCGUCGUCCGGCGGCGGCGGUGGAGACUGGAAGAGCGACAUCGAUAAAAUGAUGGGUUUCGGCGAUCCGGGCCAGGGAAAAGGAGACAAGCCACCGCCGUACAACCCCAACUUUUAGCGCUCCCUCUCCGGGAGAGCUGGGGGCGCUGAUCGCCAGCCGGCCGGGACCGGUCCGUAGAGCUCCAGGAAGCGGUCGCCGUCCCUGGCUGCGCUGUUGUGGCUGCCGUAGCUUCGGUGGGCUGCGCAGCGGCCGCCGAAGACGCGGGAGCGCUGACGCCCCGGCUCGCCGCCGGCGGCUACCCCACGCGCCCGCUCGCGGCCCGGGACGCCCGACGUGGGACCUCCAUUCCCAGGCCCCGGCUCGUCGCGAGUCUGUGUCGCCGCCCCAGCGGACGUGUCUGCCGGGCCGGCAGGAGCCAGCGUCGGGGUGCGUCGCGGGAUGGAGACGGUCCCCGAGCGACGCCGCGGGCCGGCGCCGCCUCGUCCGUCUCCAGCGGCCGGCGACGCACGCCCAGCCCACGGCGCGGGGGUGCCGCUGUGCCGGACGGCUGCGUGUGGCCCGGUCAUCGUGCGUUUAGGGACGGGUGUGGUCUGUGUGGUGUUCGGCCGGGGAGCAGGCGUUGCUCGCGCCUCCCCGCGGACCCGACGCCGGUGGCGGCGUGUGGGCGGCCCUGCUUGGUGUUGCACACUCACUUCAUCGCACAAUGCGGGUGCACGGAUCGUGGCGGGCGCGCUGCGUGGCGACGUCGGUUUAGAUAGACGACCUAGAAAUGCAUUUGACUCGGGUGUGUUGUUUUGAAGGUUUUGUUGAAGUUCGGCUCAGAGGGGACGUCGACCGAAUCUCCGUGUUCGUUGUUUUGAAUACUCACGGCGUUUUUCGGAAGCGAAAGGUAUGAUUUAAAGACGGCCACCCGUCGUCGGGGCGUCACUCAGACGGCGCUGUGACGGGCGCCACUACAGCGGGUUUUGUCGAUCUGUGCCGCCAGUCGAUGUAGUGUAGACGGGAUGCAGCGUGUUGCUCGGCUGAGCUGGUGUGUUCGUCUCGUCCUGAAUCUCCGGUGUCACCGGCGCGGCCGCAAUGACCAAUGCGAGAAGCCGCGCUGUUCCUGUACAUUCGCAGCCAGUGACUAGUAGCCUGUGCAGGCACAGCCAGGUCGGUGGGGGACGGCGCUGGCGUGGCGCGGUGCUUCUGCUUGUCGUCACGUGCCGGUCGGCCGCCGCGCGUGCCUGCCCCUCCCCGGGCUCUGGGGCGGUCGCUGCCGCCUCGGGGCCAUCAACAUUUGCCGUCCUCACGGGCUCGCUGACGUGCCGUGUAGCGUGUAGCGACAGGGCUAGCUGAUGAACGGCGGCGUAAAGCGUACCUGCUGCCACCGCGUUUGCUGAUCCCCGCGGUUUGGCGUACACAAUAUCCUACUUAGUUUUGUGGUCUCUUCUUGCCACUCGCCAACGACUGCAUCAAAGCGGUGUGAAUGUGGACCGUACUCUACUUAGCUUUACGGGCCCCCCCUCGGUCAUCAACGACUGGAUCAAAGUUGAAGUCAAACUGAACUGUGCCUGGGCGGAAUGUUUGCCGCGUCACGCCCUUGGAAUGGCAUGGGCUCUGGUUUCGCGUCCUGGAACUACUGGCCGUGCCUUACGCAUGCGUCCGCCUUGUGCCUUUGUCUGGCUGGUCUGCUUUGACAGUGUUUUCGACUCGUCACUAUUUUUACAUUGAACGCUAGUGCGUCUAUGCUUUUGCUUGUUUGGUGUGCUCCAGGUUUCCUCCGGUUCGCUUAUUUGCGUUCUUUUAGCAUCCUCAUACGCCAUACCCUGUGCAAAUAGCAAAUAUAAAUACAUUUGAAUCUCUGUCA
rnacentral:lncRNA from 1 species